AUCGAUAUAAUGUCUAUGAAAAAUAACCUACUGUUACCGAUUAGACGUCUGAAGGCUCACGACACUCGUAUCUGAAGAUGUUUCAUAAAUUGUAGAACCUUGUUUUCGCAACAGCACAGGUAGAAAGAUGUAUCCGUAAAUCGGAUACUUUGCGAACAGACGUUCUAUUCAAUUUCACGAUAUCAAUUUUCUGCGUCUUAAAGAUUAAGUUUAAACGCAAAACGUUUAUUCGUGAAGAAAUAAUUGAUAACCUAAUCUUCUUCUUAAUCUGUCUUAAUAUUUUGUAAGCGUCGAUUAUGUUGCCAUAAUUUAUCACUAUAUGAAAUUCCUCAUCUAAGAAAGAGCGGAUGUUAUCGAAUUAAUCUUUAGAAACUCGAUGAAUCUUCGAUGGCGGGGAACGUGGCGAGAUAACGAAAGACACGAUCGAUUUACUGUGCGUAUCGUCGAUACAUGUAGGUACAUGUGAUAAGCAGAACAGGAAUCUAGGGAUUUUCGGGAUUAGCCGUAACGCUGACAGAGGCGAAACUUACGCGCACUAACUCGACCCGGUUCAGAUCGAACGGUGUCGAUCGGAAUUGCGGCGCGUUAGGUUUGACAUGAGGUAAGCCGUGGAUUCGCCUUGUGAUUAUGAAUUUACCGAUAUCGGUUUAUCCAACCUCGCAGGAAUUUCAAACUAAUUUGUCGUUCGUGUAGGGAAUUCAAAGCUGUCUCUUAGGUCUUUCUCGUUUCAUGAUAACUCGCUAAAUGUAUUUUGACAAGUACUUAAAUAGGGAAAUUAAUUAACAUUGAUUAGUCUGUGAAAUGAAUUUAUUCUUCACAAAUGGCCGUAAAAAGCUGAAAAAAAUUGAAAACGUAUCAUCACGAUAGAUACAAUCGAAAAACAUACGUAAUCGACAUAAUUAGACUCGAGCACUGCGAUCAAUAAUAUGCUACAACCGAGAACACGUGUGAAAUCGAGGCGAUAUUAAUCUAUUGCGACUAAUACUAAUCAAACAAACGUCAUCGUCUUCUUUCAAAUUCUACACAACGUACAAGUUUUUCAAAUUACGAACUAUCCACUUGAUAUUUUCAUCGCAAUUCCAUCAGCCUUCGCUAUGCAGAGAAAACGACUAGCUUCGUUAAUAAUACGUUACGACCGAAAAAGCGUGAGAGAUCAAGGCGACCCUAAUCUAUUACAUCACGACCAAUCGGAUGAACGUUCAUCUUCUCUCAAGCUCCAUGCGGUACAAGCUUUCCAAGCUACAAAAUCAUUUACUAAAGUAAUCUAUACUAAUAUUCUCGUCAGAAAACCAUUCUUUACUACGUAGAAAUAGCAGGGCAUCGCUCAUCGAGCGGCCAAUCGGAUGCUCGACGACGCAAUUAGACGUGACCACUUCCAGCGAUAUUACAGUUGAAAAUUAUGGAUCUUAGUCGCCGAAAUAAAUGUAUAGCAACACUCACAUUACACGAGGAAAUGAUAUUAAAAUAAUUUCAUAUUUAUUUAAUAUGUGAUUAACAAGAUAUUCGUGGAUACACAUUGCACGCGUCUCAGCACUCUCUUGUCUCACCAUCUUUCUACCACUAUGCGUACGGAACGGUUGCGUUGAGAUAGAGGAACGAUUGGAUGAAUUUGUAACAGAAAAAUAUAUUGAAAUAAGCAUAAAUACACGUAUAGUGUAUAAGGUCAAAUUCAAAUAAAUUGUUAUCACUAGUUAUUAAUUUAAUGUGUGAUAUUGUUGAGGUUAAGUGAUAGAGAAACGAUUGGAUGAAUUUGUAAUAGAAAAAUAUAUUGAAGUAAGUAUAAGUACAGGUAUAGUGUAUAAGGUCAAAUUUAAAUAAAUUGUUAUCGUUAUUUAUUAAUUUAAUGUGUGAUAUUGUCGAGGUUAAGUGAUAGAGAAACGAUUGGAUGAAUUUGUAAUAGAAAAAUAUAUUGAAGUAAGUAUAAGUACAGGUAUAGUGUAUAAGGUCAAAUUUAAAUAAAUUGUUAUCGUUAUUUAUUAAUUUAAUGUGUGAUAUUGUCGAGGUUAAGUGAUAGAGAAACGAUUGGAUGAAUUUGUAAUAGAAAAAUAUAUUGAAGUAAGUAUAAGUACAGGUAUAGUGUAUAAGGUCAAAUUUAAAUAAAUUGUUAUCGUUAUUUAUUAAUUUAAUGUGUGAUAUUGUCGAGGUUAAGUGAUAGAGAAACGAUUGGAUGAAUUUGUAAUAGAAAAAUAUAUUGAAGUAAGUAUAAGUACAGGUAUAGUGUAUAAGGUCAAAUUUAAAUAAAUUGUUAUCGUUAUUUAUUAAUUUAAUGUGUGAUAUUGUCGAGGUUAAGUGAUAGAGAAACGAUUGGAUGAAUUUGUAAUAGAAAAAUAUAUUGAAAUAAGUAUAAGUACAAGUAUAGUGUAUGAGAUCAAAUUAAGUAAAUUGUUAUCAUUAUUUAUUAAUUUAAUGUGUAAUAUUGUUGAGGUUAAGUAAUAGAGAAACGACUGGAUAAAUUUGUAACAGAAAAAUAUAUUGAAAUAAGUAUAAGUACAGGUUAAGUGAUAGAGAAACGAUUGGAUGAAUUUGUAAUAGAAAAAUAUAUUUAAGUAAGUAUAAGUACAGGUAUAGUGUAUGAGGUCAAAAUCAAAUAAAUUGUUAUCACUAGUUAUUAAUUUAAUGUGUGAUAUUAUUGAGGUUAAGUAAUAGAGGAACGAGUGGAUGAAGUGGAACAGAAAAGUAUAUUGAAAUAAGUAUAGGCAUAAGUAUAAGUACAGAUAUAGUGUAUGAGGUCAAAAUCAAAUAAAUUGUUAUCAUUAUU